ACUGCUUCUCGGCCUUUUGGCUAAGAUCAAUUGUAGUAUAUGUUCUUAUCAGUUUAAUAAAUUGUAACUUUAGUAAAUAUUUCCUAUGUCUUAAGCUAUU
rnacentral:snRNA from 1 species